UACAGAGGGUGCAAGCGUUGUUCGGAAUUACUGGGCGUAAAGCGCGUGUAGGCUGCAAUGUAAGUCCGAUGUGAAAGCCCUUGGCUUAACCAAGGAAGUGCAUCGGAUACUGCGUCGCUUGAGUGUCGGAGGGGGUGGCGGAAUUCCCGGUGUAGAGGUGAAAUUCGUAGAUAUCGGGAGGAACACCUGUGGCGAAGGCGGCCACCUGGACGAUAACUGACGCUGAGACGCGAAAGCGUGGGUAGCAAACAGG
rnacentral:rRNA from 1 species